GGCUGGACUCCGUCCGGCGGUCUCGCUCUCUCCGUGGAUGUGGAACCGUUCCAAUGGGCACUUAGAAUGGAAAUGAUGAAGCACAACCUUUGCUCGGUGGAGGAGAUGAUGGUAUUGCGAAAUGUUUUCGCAAGCGAGCAGCGAAACCAUCGUCCGGGGCAGCCAGAACGAGAUGGAGCAACGCGCCCGGAGGCCUGGAACAUGCGAUGAGGAUCAAGGUCAAGGGAGAUGGAGCUAUCGGAUGGAACCUUUUUCACAUUUUGCUGCUUAUUCGAGCCAAGCCAAGAAAGGACGAAGAAGGAAACCAGCUGCUGAUGGGAUGCCGGUUCGGUGCGGUUAGCACUCGAUGAGUGACUGAUGUAUAUUUGUGUGAGAGUGCGAAACGCGAAACGCGAUUGGGUUCCCGAGGGAAUCCAGAGGAGCUGCGGUAGGCAGAUAUCUCCACGGAAACUGAUGACCGAAAAAGCUGCCCAAUCAUUCCUAACACAAACGGCGAGCAAACGCUGUCCUUGCACAUCAAAACAACAACAACAAAAGAAGCCACAACACAUCAAAGUAGGCCGAUUUCGACCAUUCCUGGUGACCCAUGGAAACCCAACGCUUCCAGGACGCAGGACUUACAGCAAUCCGUUGCCAGGUGAGGGCUCACCCCAAAAGCACAACAGCAAAGUUGCAAUAUUAAAGCAAACUUCUUCGCUUCCAACCCCGCCGCACCCGUGAGUCGGAUCGAAAGCAGGAAAAAACAAAACAUGGCAACGCUGCACGGCACAAAGCCAAGCCACCCACGGAAGCCAACUAUUUCCCCGUCCUUCGGCGGUCGGUUGGUCAUUCGAUUCAUGUUUUGGCUAGUUGAAAACUGAAAUAUAGCCGUGCUGAACGAAUAAAUCGCAUCCACACGCCACCAAAGUCCUUGCACUUGGUUUUCUUUUAUUAUUUCCCGAAAGCGGCACGUUUUCCUACGAAGGACACACCACGUUGCAACGAACUUGGUUUUACCCUACAUUCUAGUGGUUUAUUGUAUGUGUUUGUGUAUUGCUGUGUGAGUCGAAAGGAGUGAGAAGGUAGCCGGGAAAAAUCGAUUGAACUUGAGCUUGAAAAUUUUCCGCUUACCAACAAAGCAGCAGCAGCAGCAAACUCAAGUUGAGUUCCCUUGAUGGAACGAACAAACAAACAAACAAACCAACAUCAAUGCACUCGAAAAAAAAGUACUUCACUCAUACCACCGCACAGAACAAGCACAGUGAGUACCUUGGGCUUUGAGCCUUGAACUUCCUCCGCCGAUUCGAGGAUGCCAUACAAGAUGAUUCCAUCCUUCCAAGGGAGCCGGUCAGUCGCCAUUCCCGGACAGGAACGAAACUGUAUGAUUUCUAAAAUAUCGAAUAAUGCUUCCUUCCUCUGGUCGUUUGCUAGGCAAGAGAACAAUUGUCUUGGACUGAGAAAAUCGAUAGAUACCGGUGGAGACGCGUGGUUUUCCGUUCGGGAUGAAUUCCCGUCAAGGAAACUCGGACGCUUCCAUUCCGGGAUGGUUGAUGGUGUUGUUAUGAACGUAAAUUGUUGAUGUAAUCUGAACAAGUGCCAACAUUUUAUGGAACGUAGAAUAGAAUGGAUUGCCUAAUAUAGGAGGUUUAAUUUUCAUGAUGACUACAUUUUAAAUUGUUUAAAUUCUCCCGCUCUGAGAGGCAACUUCCAAACAUUCACGAAACUGGGUACUGUUUCCCAACCAGGCACGCAAUGUUCCGAAACGGGACAUUAGCGAGACAAAAAUAUUUUCGCUAUUAAAUAUUGUUUUUUUUUGGUGGUUGGUGUCUCCGCAAAAGGCGUUUGUAUUCAACUGGCGCAACUUUUUUCCAGAAUUAUCGUUCAACAAAAUAUAUCCAAAUGUUUUGAAUGAUAAAAACCAUCAUUCGAAAACCCAUUUUGUAAUUUUUUCGUGGAAA